rnacentral:rRNA from 1 species
CAGGCUGAAAUUACGCCUGCAUGAAGCCGGAAUUGCUGGUAAUGGCAGGUCAGCAUACUGCCGUGAAUACGUUCCCGGGCCUUGUACACACCGCCCGUCACACCAUGAGAGUUGGGGAUACCCAAAGCCCGUGAGCCAACUUUAAAAGAGGCAGCGGUCUAAGGUAGAAUCAAUGAUUGGGGUGAAGUCGUAACAAGGUACC